AUAUAUUUAAUUUUAUAUUUACAUUUGUUUUAUAUAUGUUUUAUAUUAUUUUUUAAUUUUGUAUAGGGUUUUUUUAUGGUUUUUGAUAUAAUCCUUGCAGAUUUCCCUAAUCAGCUGCCAUUUUUGAACUGCUUUGUGCAGUGUACAGGAUAAAGAUGUAUCUGAGGACUCUGAUGGGAAUGGUCACAGCACAUUUGAAUUCCAGCCCCUUCCCUGCUGGGCUUGUGAGAUUUCCCAUUGAAUUCGUGCUGUUGCCUGAUUUUUUUGGAUACCAGGAUUCCUGGCAAAGUUGGCAGCAAGUUUAACCAGUGUCAGCUUUCCACAGGGAGAAACCAGACAUAUUCCACUCAAGCUUCUGAGCUUGGUCAGCCCAGUUAACCCUGAGGCUGCAGAGGUGCCUGAGAUCCUCAGGGAUGUGCCUUUUACUGGGAGCAUCCCUAUUUUCCUGGCUCUCCACUGUGAUACAACAGGCCACAACCUUCCCAGAGACCUCCAGAACCUCCCCCUGUGACUAAUCAGUUCAAGAUCAAGCUGAAAUGGUUCCUGUCCUGAAAAAUGGAUCCUGAAGAGGCAGGAUGUGCCUGCUGCUCUCUUUAGAUCCAGCAGGAGGAUGUUUGGGGCCCAAGGAUCCAGCAGGGAAGAGGAGCCCUCCAGCCUUGCUGUUCCCAGCCAGAUUCUGCCACAAAGAAACCCAGGGAACAGCUCAGAGGAGCAGACCUGCAGCUGUGGAUGUGCACACUCUGUUGUUCAACAGGAAUUAAUUCAGAUUAACUGACAUUUCUGUCAGCAAUGCCCUCACCACAGACAUCCUGCCUUUCUAACGACGGGUUUUCACACCCAACACGUGGGGAAAGGAAAAGUGAAUGAAAACCAGGAGAGACUGACCAGGAGCUUUGGCUUUUGCUCAGCAGGGAGGACAGUGAAGUUGGUGAUGGAGCGCAGCAUCACGAGCAGGAUGGAGAGCACGAAGACGAUGAGCUCCUGGCGGUUCUCCUGCAGGAUCCCCCGGCUCACAUAGUACACACAGAACACUGGGGGGACAAGGCAAGGGCAGUGCCAGAGUGCUGCUUCCUGGAUUCCACAAAAUUCCCCCCACUUUUGCAAGGCUGGGACAUGGGGACAAAGUGCUCUCCAAGUCUUCAAAGGAACACAGUAACCUGAGUCUCUAAACAAACCUUCAGUGACUGAACUUCCUUUUCCAGUGCUGUUAACAGGGACUGAGAGAGUGGAAAAUGAUUGGCAAGUGACAGAGUGAAUCACGGUAUUUUUUGGACAUGCUCUUGACCUCAGGAAGACCUCAAAGACUUAAGGCAGCAUUUCCUUGUUUUGCAAAUUCAGCUGCUCAAUCAGAAGAAAUUUUGCACAAAUAAUUUGAAAAUAAGCUCUGAAUAUCAAGCUUUUUGCAGAGGUGGCACAUGCACGUUUCUGAAAUACAGGACACCCCUUGGUUUUGGGGGUGAACAUUUUUCAACAGAUUAAAUUCUCAACUCUCCCAUAAAUUAAAUAUCUAAUUGUAAACCCAAGACAUUGUUACGGCCAGGGCACCUAUUUUUCUUUAAAGAAACACCUGUCCUGUCAGUCUUUGUCUACCACACAGAAAACAUGGUUUUGGGGAAAAACAGAUGGGCAACUAUGGUUUCAACUUCCCGGGUCUGUCACUGAAUUAAUAUGAAGGUUCUUCAGGCUGUUCUAACAUUGCAGCUUUGUGAGUCCUGUGUGAAAAGCUGCUCAUUAAAUCAGAGGUUUGGAAUUAAAGCAUUGUUGGGAUUUGUCUAAUUAUAGAAUCUGGAACAAAGCUAUUGUCUUUGUUCCCUCUGGGUGAGAGCUGGAAGGCAAGGACUGUGUUACACCCACAAUCUCUCCUUUUUCACACUGUUUUGGCAGCCAAGGCCUGCUAAAGCCACUUCCUGAAAUAGUUUAUUAUUUUCAUGGUAAUUUCUGUUUGAUACAAAUGGACCCAAGAAUACGAAAAAAAGUUUCUGCUGAAGCUCUCAUUGGAAAUAUCCAAGGAAGU